UCACAGGUUCUUUUCAGGACCAUCGAAAUUCUUUAUAGAGAGUUA
rfam:Aedes albopictus isolate Foshan contig168450, whole genome shotgun sequence.